AUUGAACGCUGGCGGCAGGCCUAACACAUGCAAGUCGAACGGUAACAGGGAGCAGCUUGCUGCUCUGCUGACGAGUGGCGGACGGGUGAGUAAUGUCUGGGAAACUGCCUGAUGGAGGGGGAUAACUACUGGAAACGGUAGCUAAUACCGCAUAACGUCUACGGACCAAAGUGGGGGACCUUCGGGCCUCAUGCCAUCAGAUGUGCCCAGAUGGGAUUAGCUAGUAGGUGGGGUAACGGCUCACCUAGGCGACGAUCCCUAGCUGGUCUGAGAGGAUGACCAGCCACACUGGAACUGAGACACGGUCCAGACUCCUACGGGAGGCAGCAGUGGGGAAUAUUGCACAAUGGGCGCAAGCCUGAUGCAGCCAUGCCGCGUGUAUGAAGAAGGCCUUCGGGUUGUAAAGUACUUUCAGCGGGGAGGAAGGUGUUGUGGUUAAUAACCGCAGCAAUUGACGUUACCCGCAGAAGAAGCACCGGCUAACUCCGUGCCAGCAGCCGCGGUAAUACGGAGGGUGCAAGCGUUAAUCGGAAUUACUGGGCGUAAAGCGCACGCAGGCGGUCUGUUAAGUCAGAUGUGAAAUCCCCGGGCUCAACCUGGGAACUGCAUUUGAAACUGGCAGGCUUGAGUCUCGUAGAGGGGGGUAGAAUUCCAGGU
rnacentral:rRNA from 1 species